GGAGGGCCAGGCCAACUCGUCAUCCGGUGACCGCCUCAGCUGCCCGAGGGACAGGAGGGACGCCCGCCUCCGCUGUGUCGCCAGGCCCGGUGUCGCCAAGCCUGCUGGCUGUGCUGUGGUCCCAGAAUAUACCCACGAGGAAGGCGGCACUGUUUUGGAAAAGGAGGGGGAGGGGGGAAAAAAAGAUCAAACCCAGACUCUCCACGUUGGGAGCACAGAGUCCCAGCCACCACCAGAGAAGGACCACCGGAGAAUCUCUUCAUGGGCACUUGAGGUACUGGCCCGGACCGCAGUUCUCGUGACGCCCCACCACGCCGGCAGACGCCCUAACACCACGUCUUUACGCCGUCACUGCACACCCAGAUGACGACUACCCGAGAGAUGGACAGCUGUCCCAGGUGACUCAAUCCGGUUCUUCCUCCCCAGAAUUUGAGAGUGGGUCAGACUGGG
ensembl:lncRNA